UACGUAGGGUGCAAGCGUUGUCCGGAAUUAUUGGGCGUAAAGAGCUCGUAGGCGGUUUGUCGCGUCUGCUGUGAAAACGCGAGGCUCAACCUCGCGCCUGCAGUGGGUACGGGCAGACUAGAGUGGCGGUAGGGGAGAUUGGAAUUCCUGGUGUAGCGGUGGAAUGCGCAGAUAUCAGGAGGAACACCGAUGGCGAAAGGGCAGAU
rnacentral:rRNA from 1 species